CGAACGUCAUGGGUUGUUCUUAUGCUGUUCUUAAGGCAUUCGUUAGUGCGUCCUGUGAAAGGGGGUUUCGUACUGCGUUCGUGGAAAAACUUGUACAAGAUCGCUCACCUGGCUACAAACUUAGGAACAGUCCACGAACACUCCAAUCUUAUACGACUGCCUUGAGAAGGUCGUACGAAAUGGUCCAUAAAUCAUUCACACAGUGUUCGUAGUCCUUCGUAACGGCAUUUGUGACUGAGGCUUCAUACUCCUCAGUUCUG